AUGCAGUCGAACGAUGAACCACUUCGGUGGGGAUUAGUGGCGAACGGGUGAGUAACACGUGGGCAAUCUGCCCUGCACUCUGGGAUAACCCCGGGAAACCGGGGCUAAUACCGGAUACGACUCCCGGGGGCAUCCCCGGGGGUGGAAAGCUCCGGCGGUGCAGGAUGAGCCCGCGGCCUAUCAGCUGGUUGGUGAGGUAACGGCUCACCAAGGCGACGACGGGUAGCCGGCCUGAGAGGGCGACCGGCCACACUGGGACUGAGACACGGCCCAGACUCCUACGGGAGGCAGCAGUGGGGAAUAUUGCACAAUGGGCGCAAGCCUGAUGCAGCGACGCCGCGUGAGGGAUGACGGCCUUCGGGUUGUAAACCUCUUUCAGCAGGGAAGAAGCCGCAAGGUGACGGUACCUGCAGAAGAAGCGCCGGCUAACUACGUGCCAGCAGCCGCGGUAAUACGUAGGGCGCGAGCGUUGUCCGGAAUUAUUGGGCGUAAAGAGCUCGUAGGCGGCUUGUCGCGUCGGUUGUGAAAGCCCGGGGCUCAACCCCGGGUCUGCAGUCGAUACGGGCAGGCUGGAGUUCGGCAGGGGAGAUCGGAAUUCCUGGUGUAGCGGUGAAAUGCGCAGAUAUCAGGAGGAACACCGGUGGCGAAGGCGGAUCUCUGGGCCGAUACUGACGCUGAGGAGCGAAAGCGUGGGGAGCGAACAGGA
rnacentral:rRNA from 1 species